rnacentral:misc_RNA from 1 species
GAAAUGCGAUAAGUAAUGUGAAUUGCAGAAUUCAGUGAAUCAUCGAAUCUUUGAACGCACCUUGCGCCUUUUGGUAUUCCGAAAGGCAUGCCUGUUUGAGUGUCAUGAAAUAUCAACCCCUCCUGGUUUCUGAUCAGUGUUGGGCUUGGACUUGGGUGUCUGCCAGUUCGCUGGCUCGCCUUAAAAGAGUUAGUGGUAAUAACAUCCACGGCUAAGACGUAAUAAGUUUCGUCUGGUCAAGGUGUGACGACUGCUCAUAACCCGACCGCAAGGUCAUUAUUUUAUGCUCUGACCUCAAAUCAGGUAGGACUACCCGCUGAACUUAA